rnacentral:rRNA from 1 species
UGAGGAAUAUUGGUCAAUGGGCGGGAGCCUGAACCAGCCAAGUCGCGUGAAGGAAGAAGGAUCUAUGGUUCGUAAACUUCUUUUGCAGGGGAAUAAAGUGCGGGACGUGUCCUGUUUUGUAUGUACCCUGAGAAUAAGGAUCGGCUAACUCCGUGCCAGCAGCCGCGGUAAUACGGAGGAUCCGAGCGUUAUCCGGAUUUAUUGGGUUUAAAGGGUGCGUAGGUGGUUUGAUAAGUCAGCGGUGAAAGUUUGCAGCUUAACUGUAAAAAUGCCGUUGAAACUGUCGGACUUGAGUGUAAAUGAGGUAGGCGGAAUGUGUGGUGUAGCGGUGAAAUGCAUAGAUAUCACGCAGAACUCCGAUUGCGAAGGCAGCUUACUAAGCUACAACUGACACUGAAGCACGAGAGCGUGGGGAUCAAACA